GCCCGCUCAGAAACUUAAAGGAAUUGACGGGGCCCGGCACAAGCGGAGGAGCAUGUGGUUUAAUUCGAUGAUACGCGUGGAACCUUACCUGGGCUUAAAUGCUUAAUGACGUACUGGGAAACUGGUAUUUCUUCGGACAUUUUGCAAGGUGCUGCAUGGUUGUCGUCAGCUCGUGCCGUGAGGUGUCGGGUUAAGUCCCAUAACGAGCGCAACCCCUAUUGUUAGUUGCCAUCAGGUCAUGCUGGGGACUCUAACAAAACUGCCCGCGUAAGCGUGGAGGAAGGUGGGGAUGACGUCAAAUCAGCACGGCCCUUACGUCCAGGGCUACACACGUGCUACAAUGGCCGGUACAGAGGGCAGCCACUUGGUGACAAGGAGCAAAUCUCAAAAGCCGGUCUCAGUUCGGAUCGGAGUCUGCAACUCGACUCCGUGAAGUUGGAUUCGCUAGUAAUCGUAGAUCAGCAAUGCUACGGUGAAUACGUUCCCGGGCCUU
rnacentral:rRNA from 1 species